UCGAGUGAUUUUGCGCCGAAAAUUUACCGGGGCUAAGCAUAUUACCGAGAUUGUGGACAUGACGUAGUCAUGUGAUAGGAGAGCGUUCUAAGGGCAACGAAGUUAGACCGUAAGGACUGAUGGAGCGCUUAGAAGUGAGAAUGCCGGUAUGAGUAGCGAAAGAUUAGUGAGAAUCUAAUCCACCGAAUGACUAAGGUUUCCUGGGGAAGGCUCGUCCUCCCAGGGUAAGUCGGGACCUAAGCCGAGGCCUAGAGGCGUAGGCGAUGGAUAACAGGUUGAAAUUMCUGUACUAGUCAAUUAUGUUUGAGCGAUGGAAGGACGUAGAAGGCUAACUCGUGCACACUAUUGGAUUGUGUGUUCAAGCAGUGAGUCAGUUGAAGAGUGAAAUGCUUUUCAGCGUGUUGACAAGCUGUGAUGAGGAUCGAAUUAUAGUAGAGAAGUGAGCCAUGUCACGCUACCGAGAAAAGUUUCUAGUGAGUAAUUAACUACCCGUACCGCAAACCGACACAGGUAGUCGAGGAGAGUAUCCUAAGGUGAGCGAGUGAACUCUUGUUAAGGAACUCGGCAAAAUGACCCCGUAACUUCGGGAGAAGGGGUGCUGCACUAACGUGCAGCCGCAGUGAAAAGGCUCAGGCGACUGUUUAUCAAAAACACAGGUUUCUGCAAAAUCGUAAGAUGAAGUA
rnacentral:rRNA from 1 species